rnacentral:rRNA from 1 species
UACGAAGGGGGCUAGCGUUGCUCGGAAUUACUGGGCGUAAAGCGCACGUAGGCGGCUUUCUAAGUCGGGGGUGAAAUCCUGGAGCUCAACUCCAGAACUGCCUUUGAUACUGGAGAGCUAGAGUCCGGAAGAGGUGAGUGGAACUGCGAGUGUAGAGGUGAAAUUCGUAGAUAUUCGCAAGAACACCAGUGGCGAAGGCGGCUCACUGGUCCGGUACUGACGCUGAGGUGCGAAAGCGUGGGGAGCAAACAGG